rnacentral:misc_RNA from 1 species
CCCAAACGGCGAAUCAAAAAUUCUAAAAUUUCCAGUGCAGCCUUCUUGUUGUGCUUGUGCAACUGCAAAAUUUUUUGCCUGUUGGAUCCUGUAAUCUAUUCUAUGUGUCUGGGGUGCCGGAACUGAUGUUGCAUCUCUGGUUUUCUUUGCUGCAGGUGAAGAGACUGUCCUACGAAGCGGUGGUGGCUCGAUUUUCCUCCUCUUGGGUUCAGGCGCCAUCUUUCCCAACCAAAAUUGGCAACAGAACUGGAUCUUAUAA